rnacentral:snoRNA from 1 species
ACCAGUUCCCUUACCCAUCAGAUCUGAACACUGGUCUGAGGGGUUAUAAAACAAAGGAGAGUAAACUGGAAACGGAGUUCAAUUAUUUUGUGACACAUGGGUUGGUUUCAAACAAAC